rnacentral:rRNA from 1 species
CGCGGCCUAUCAGCUUGUUGGUGAGGUAAAGGCUCACCAAGGCAUCGACGGGUAGCUGGUCUGAGAGGAUGAUCAGCCACACUGGGACUGAGACACGGCCCAGACUCCUACGGGAGGCAGCAGUGGGGAAUAUUGCACAAUGGGCGAAAGCCUGAUGCAGCAACGCCGCGUGCGGGAUGAAGGCCCUAGGGUUGUAAACCGCUUUCAGCAGGGAAGAAAAUGACGGUACCCGUAGAAGAAGGUGCGGCCAACUACGUGCCAGCAGCCGCGGUGACACGUAGGCACCAAGCGUUGUCCGGAUUUAUUGGGCGUAAAGAGCUCGUAGGCGGUUCAGUAAGUCGGGUGUGAAAACUCAAGGCUCAACCUUGAGACGCCACUCGAUACUGCUGUGACUUGAGUCCGGUAGAGGAGUGUGGAAUUCCUGGUGUAGCGGUGAAAUGCGCAGAUAUCAGGAGGAACACCAGCGGCGAAGGCGGCACUCUGGGCCGGUACUGACGCUGAGGAGCGAAAGCAUGGGGAGCAAACAGGAUUAGAUACCCUGGUAGUCCAUGCCGUAAACGUUGGGCACUAGGUAUGGGAUCAUAUCAACGGAUUCCGUGCCGUAGCUAACGCAUUAAGUGCCCCGCCUGGGGAGUACGG